AUUGCUUCCCGCGGAAGAACCAAAAAUAUCACAUGCUACUAUUUUUCUUUCAUGUGAAGUGGAUCGUUAAUCCUUUGCUCAUAUUGCUUUAGGAAAAAUGGCGCCACCACCACCACCACUAUGUCGACUGUGCAAGUCAAGGUGCGCCAGCAGCCUUGCAACUGGCAAGCUGUUCGGCAUCUACUUCCAGCCGAGUUUUCGUCAUGCGGCGAUCGUCCCAUGCAAUGUGAGGUUGAAAUUCAACAAGCUGACAGGAGACACUGUGACAUUUGAGGCUCCUAGGGGGCGUACACUAUGGAG
rnacentral:rRNA from 1 species